AUUUGCUCCUCCUAUGGAGCGCUGGGUCACGACAGGAGCUCGACAUCCGCGGCGUGCACAGUAACCCAAACCUGCAUGACUGCAGCAGGGGAGCAGGCAGCAUCCCCGCCGUGCAGUGGGGCUGGAUACAGAGGGGAGCACGGAGGAGAAGCAAAGAGGAGAGAAGCACGGCUGCUAGCAAGUGCUGCAGUCACACAGCGCGCUGCAAAUGCUGCUGCAGGGCAGCCUGCAAGAGCAGUUGUGAAAAGCAAAUGCAGGGGGGGAAGGUGUCUGUGCAUUGGACACCGAAGCUCUGCAUUGGCAUCCAGCACUCCGAGGUGACAGAGCUGCAUGAGGGAGCUGCUCGACUGGGGACCCAGGACACUGAAGAUGCCAUCCUCUCUCCCAGCCCCACCCCACUGGGUGCUGCAGCAGAGGUGAGCACAGGGUUGCCCUGGCAGAAGGGCUGGUGGGGCCGUCCCUCGGAAGCAAGCUCUGCAGCAGACAGUCACAAUUUCACGACCAUUUGCUGAUGAGAUGGCGAAGCUCCUCUGUCCUGGAGGAAGCAGUCUGGAGGUCACCCCAUUUCCCGUACUCCUGCCCCUCUGUGUGCCAUCCAGCCUGGCAUUUUACCCCUCUGCUGGCAGCAUUCCUCCCUCCCAGAUACCCUCCAGCUCUGUCCCACUUCCAGCUCCAGGAUGUGCCACUGGCUGCAGACUCCUUUUCAGGCAGCUGCUUCCACAAGUAUUUCCACCUCCUGGUCCCAUUUCCCUGACCGGUGCCAGCCUCCUUGCCUCGUGACGGCAUAUCAAAGUGACUUCUUGCCUAGCUCUGCCUUUGUGAAAGAGGUCCUUUGUUGCACAGAACAUUCACGGAACAUUAUAUAACCCCAGUUGUCUCCGUGCCCAAAAAGCCAAGUUUUAUUGCCAUGUCCCAAGUGAGGUGGUGCCUGUGAGUGGGCGUCAGGGUGGGCUCACAGCUAUGGGAAAUGCAACACCACCAGCUUAAACUGGGAUACCCUUUCAAUCUUCCAGCUUGGCUUAAAUAAUCUGUUGGAUGACAUCUGGCAAGUAGCUUAUUUGCUCACUUUCAGCCUUUUCUUUUUAUGCAAAACCUCAUUUUUUAUAUUUAAUUUAUUUUUAUUUUUUUUUCAUAAAGAUAUAUGUAUUGCUGUUUAUAUCACUACAGCUGGUUUUGAAGUGCCCCAUCACACAGAUCCAGAUAUCCAUACUCCCACAUGUGCAUGGAGAACUUACACGGGCAACUCCUACCAAGACUUGCAAGUUAUGCAAUUAAAUCCCUUCAAUACCUUUCUCAUGUUUUGCUGUCAAGCCUUGCCCCAGGGAGGAAUUCAGCUAUGGGCUGUACCCAGCCAAGGCCGGGGAAUGCUCCAGCGCUGGCUGUGGCUGGAGCUGGGAUGGGGACAUAUCCACCCCACGACCUGCAGUCACGGCAGGUGCUGUCAGACUGGCACGUGAAGUGCACCACACUUGGCCAUCUCCUCUUUCCUUCCACAUGGCACCCUCUCUACAAAGCAUUGAAAUAUGUUUAAGUGUAUUCAGGUUACUUUUAUUUAAGUGCAUGUGUGCAUCUCACUUCUGAUGUCAAAUCUUUGAUAGUUCACAAAGCACUGUGAAUGCAGCCAAGCUGAGCAUGGCACUCACAUUGUGUUUAUCCCUUCUCCCCUUUAACUUGCAGGUUAUGGGAGCAUCGUACAGAGUGCUGGGGCAUCCCUGGCCAAGCAAAGCAUGAGGCAGGGCCGUGCACCUUUGCUUCAUUUGCCAAGGAGCAGCCAUAUGAUGGAUGUGUGAACAUCUGAGUAUGCUACUGGGCUGUGGAACUGAAAGGGAUUUGUUAAAGCAAGAUGUGCAACAGCACUGGUACCGAAAAGAGUUGAUAGAGCUGUGCAUAAUGAUCUUGUUUCUGAGAGUCCAAAUUAGAAGCUUUUCACCAUUAGCAGCAUCAGGGCUCUGAUGUGGAGCCAGCACUGGUGGUGGAAGCGUGGUCCAUCAUAGAUCAGCACAGCUGGAGGAGACCACUGUACAAUCAUACAGGAGUAGUGGAGGGUGCAGUGAUGUCUGCCAAAGUGAAGCCUCCUUCACACAGAGCACACCUGGGUGGAAAGACCUCUGUGAGGUGACAACUGGCAUGCCAGAGGCUAUAGGGCACAGCGCCUGGGGACUUAUGGUGAGUUAAGACAGCUUAAAAUCAAACAAAACAAAAUUCCAUUUUUACUUUUUUUUUUUUUCCAUAUUGGUUAAGAUUUUUGUUUCCAGAAUACUUAACUAUAUCAUUAAGAAACUUCCUAAGGUAUAAAGAAAAGAAAAGCAGAUGGGGGAUGUGUAGGGAAAGGCAAGAAGCUGCUAGAAAAUUGGGCAAGUGAAAGGAAAGAAGCAUUUUAAUGUACUUCGUUCAGUAGCUAAAAAAAGAGGAGAAAGGAAAAAUACCACUAUUAUUUUCAAAUGUCUAUAAAAAGACUGUUAUUUUCACCACAAUUUUCAAAAGAACAAAACCCACUAAACCUUAAUAAUGCGUGAAUUGCAUCCCACUUCCAUGCAAAACAGACUUUUAUUUUUAUUUCUUUGGACAUGGGUGUAAGAAACAAUCUGUAGUCCCUGCUCAUUGCUGGAGAGGAUCCUGAAAGCACUCUGAGUUAUGUGUCGCCUGAACUUCUGAUGAGACAGACAAGUUAAAUAGUGGAAAUUGGGUUCUGAUGUCUCUCAUGGAGCUGAGCUGGGCUAGGAAAGGUUCUACUUAAAUCACCCAUGCUUAUUUUAUUUUUUAUUAAUAACUAAGGUCAGGCUUGUCAUUGCUCUGUACAUAACUGGAACCCUUCUCCAUGAUGCCAGGCACCUUGUCCUCAGGGCAAAACCCUUGGCUCCACAUCCUGCUGGCUGUCAGCAGGACUGAGUCAGUCUAAGAAGCCAGACUUUGGCCCGAAGACUGCAUGAGGAAGGCACACGCACGCACAUGAAGGUCAGGACCAGCGCCUCAGCCACUGCCAAUGUAUCGACAUAUUUUUGUGGUGACAAGUUAGUGGUUGGAUCCUGGCAGCGGCUGUCAAGAAAACACAGAGCGGGGAGGGAAAACAGGCUUCACAUUUGCAUUUCAGAUUGUUUAAGAGAAGAUGCUUCUGGCUCUUAAAAUUACCACAUGCCAGUGUGUUGCAUUGUGCUACGGUAACACUGCUCUGGCAUCCUCUCUAUUGUCAAGCGUCCCUCCCCGGGGCAUAUUUGAACCAUAUUAUUUUCAUCUAGGUUGAAAUUCUGAGGUUCCAUUAAUCUGUUUUUUAUCUUCCUUACCAGGCUCUGGCCUCUGAUGCUAGAUUAAAAUAGGUCAGGAAUGAGAACUUUGUCUGCACUUUUAGAUCCUGAGCCCAUCAUCCACACUUGCUUUGUGGACACACAGUGUCUCGCACAACAUAGCCCUUGAAAUUUUUGGCAGUGGCACCAUCCAACAUUUCCAGAAAAGGCUACUCCAUCUGCAGCUUUAAUAUGGGCUCUCAGCCCUGUCAGACAGCAGGCUCUGGCUGUCAUCCCUCCUUCCGUCAUCUCCGCUCCCCUGGGGUGGGCACAGUGGCUGCAGCCCCGGGGUUGUGCUCAGGGCCCUUGGAAGCUCAGCAAAGCUCACCACCAUGGGCCGUGCCCCAUCCUGAGGCACCCCGGAGAAGAAGACAGCUGGAGCUGGGAUUCACUCACACACGUUAAAAGGGAGGCGAUGAAGAGAGGCAGAAGAAAACACCAAGAAGUGGAGAGCUGGUUAAACCCUCUCCUUACCAAAAGCUGCAUGCCUAGCCCCAAAAUCAAGAUGCUGUAGUGAACUCCUGAGCAUUAACUGAGUCCUCACCCUAGGUCAACUGUCCUUAUCCUUGUUGUACUCUUAAAAUAUCCUUAUUAUAUUUUAAAAUUCUUUAUAACAGACUUAUUUAACCUGGAGUUGUUUCCCUUAGCCUUUCUUUCUUUCUUUUUUUUCUUUUUUUCUUUUUUGUUUUGUUUUGUUUUGUUUUGUUUCAGUUUUGCCACUUGGUUUCAAGACUUGGAGAUGAAGCACACACAGCAGGACAUGGCAUUGUUUGGGAAUUAAAAAGCUAGAGCUCAGGUCUUUGUUUUAAACCUUCCCAAGACAGCAGGCUUAUGAAUAGGUAAGCUAUCAUUUAUUAAUAUGUGCAGUCUAUUCAUUUUUUCCACGUUUGCUUCAUUUCAUUCUGCAGCAGCACCGAGCUGUCACUGACCAGAUGGGUCUCCACGUGGCCAUGCUUGCAGCAGAAACACAGCUCAUUCUGGUGUACCCCACCAGGCACUGUGAGUGGCAGUAGACCCUUAAGAGUCUCCACAAUGCGGAUGUGUCCUGGUCAAAUGCUGCCUGUUAUCCACUGAGUGCUGCUUGCCUGUGGUUCUGCUGGUAGCAGGGAUAUGGACAAGAAGCGUUGGCUCUUCUGAAGCAGUCCUGCUGCUGUACUCAAGCAGCCCUGAAUUAGCCUGAGGUUGUUCAACACCUUCAGUGCCUGGCAGGACUAAUGAAGCAAGCAACAGAGAAUCCCCUGACAAGGGUUGCAGGUCAGUAAGCCAGGGAAUCCCGUUUGCAGCUUUCCAUGAAGCAGGGAAGAACAAGAAGGGAGGAUGCCCGUCCUUCACCUUUAUUCCUACUUCCCUUUCUUGGCAGCUGGAUCUGUCUGGAGCUUCCCAGGUGGUGCAUCCUUAGCUCCCACCCUCAGGAAGGAACAACGACCCUGUGUCCUCAGGGGACUUCAGUGCUUUCUGCUGGCAUUGUGCCUUGCUGCAGGAGCCUCACCUGGACCCUGGGCAGCGAAAGGGGGACCUGCAGAGCAGAAGCAUAAGGCAGCCUUUCUCAGCUGCCUGUGCUCUCUCUGAAUUUGCACAGAAAUAAAGCCUGGUUAGCCCUUA